UUCACCUUUGCGGUUGAGUGUUUUGCUUCGGUCAAUCUGUAACGAAGAAAACGAUAAUUACAAUGGUGGAAGAAUUACGCAAAAUGAGAAUUGGGAAUGGUCUCAUCGGAGGCUUUUUUGUAUUUUUUCGCGGCGGCGCUGCCGGGCUUUGUUUGCAGUUUUCAGCCAACCCGUCGGUUCUUUUGCUCUGAUUUGGCCACGACAAUGUCUAAAAUUAAAUUUCGAGUAAAGAAGAAAAUUUU
rnacentral:lncRNA from 1 species